GUCGCUUUUCUCUGAUUGCAGCGAGAGCAGGUGGUGCUUUCUUGCACUGUGAGAAGCACAGUCUGUUUCUUUGAUUUCAGAUGGGCUCCACAACUCGGGAGGGCGCUCAUCUCUCAGUCCUCUCUCUGCUGAGCAGUUACUGGGCCUAUCUUUCUCUCGAUGGAUAACAACCCUUGCGUUGCGGUUGCUAGAAGGCGGGACAUCUCUGCCUGGAAUAGGGCACCGUGGGAUGAAGGCUAUUAGGAGGAGAGUGGUCCUUGAGAAAGACCUAUCAUGAGAAGAAAGCACGAGGUGUGUUUAUCUUAGUACCAGCAGACAACAAGAACUAAACUUGAGGAGGCUUCUGAAGAGUCACUGGAGUUGGGUGCCUGAAAAUCUGCACUUGAUUAUUAAGGAACAUCCAGCCAGGCAUGGUGGAUUUUCGUCCCUUUAAUCCCAAUGCUCAGGAGGCAGAGGCAGGCAGAUCUCUAUGAGUUCCAGCCAGCCUGGUCUGCGUACACCUUUCUAGGCCAGGCAGGGCUACAUGGUAAGCCCUUGUCUCAAAACAAAAACAACGACAAAGGAGAGACAAGAGAGAGGAACAUCCAGUCACUGGGAAUCCUAGCACUUAGGAGCAAGAGAACUGAGUUUGUGACUGUGUAACAAGAAAUGUGCUUUGCGCCUUAACCCAUCACGUUCUGCUGGCUCUCGUUUGUCUGUUCUGAGCCAAUAUUCACAUUUCCUGGAAGUUGAAACAUGUACCUUAUAGACUGACACAGUGGUGACUCCUGACUCAGAGUUACUGAAGGAUGGGAAGAGAUCUUUGUUCUUCUAAACUCUAUGACUCUGGGUGUUUGUUUGUAUGUCUGUGAAUCAAUCGCGUGCACGCUUGGUGCUGAGGAAGGAAGGAAGGCCAGAAGACACGAAAUCCCCUGGAACUGGAGUUGCAGAUGGUUGUGAGUUGCCAUGUGGCUGCUGAGACUCAAACCUGAAUCCUCUGUAAGACCAGCCAUUUCUUAACUACCGGUUCAUCUGUCCAGCCCUUAAGAUUUAUUUAUUUGUUUGUUUCUUGAGACAGGGUUUCUCUGAGUAGCAGCUCUGGUUGGCCUGGAACUUACUUUAUAGACCAGGCUGGCCUUGAACUCAGAGAUCCGAGUGCUUCUGCCUCCCAAGUGUUGGGAUGAAAGCCAGAAGAUGUGUCAAAUCUCCUGGAGCUGGAGUUAAAGGUAGUUGUGAGCCACUUGGCAUGGGUGCUAGGAACUAACCUUUAGUUACCCAGUCAUCUCUCCAGCUCCUGUCUCUAAGCAACAAUUAGAACGUGCACACAGCAAAAUGGUUCCAGCUGCCUUUGGGAAACAGCUCAAAGGCUGAAAUACUGAUAAGUCGGAGUCAUUAAAUGGUUUAUGGGAAGAAUAAAGCAGAGUUAGCUCAAGUUUCUCAGGAGUUCAAGUUCUCAUUCCCACUCCUCCACCCUCUUCCCUUUUUCCUUCCUUUCUUUCUGACAAGGUCUCAUGUAUACCACACUAGCCCCAAGUUUGCUAUGCAGUCAAGCCUUUGAACUUAUGACUCUCCUGCCUCUUGUUGAGUGCUGGGAUCUCAGACCCGUGCUCCCAUUCCUAGGGUGUGUAUUGCUGGGCAUUGACCCUAGGGCUUCAGGACAAUCACUUUACCAUACAGAACCCUCAAGUCUGUCUCUCUGUUAAGAUAUCAUUAUGUUGAUUGUUAAUAUUAUUUUAUUAAUAAUACACUGGUAAAAUACUGGAGUAUUUAAAAUAUGUGGACAGGAAACCCAUGCACGCAUUAAGCAAACAUCUACUGAUUGAUUGUCUACACAAUCUCCAUGUUUGGGACUUGUCAGACAAUCAUGUAGGCAUAAUCCCUGGCUUUAUGGAAAACAUGUUCUAACAGAAAAGACAGGAAACAAAGAGUUACCAGAGAGCUCGGUCCUGGGUAGACAACAGGUGACGGGGCCUUGUAUGGAAGCCCUGACUGUUCUGGUAGCCGGGACAGUAGUGGGCGGCUCCACAUGGUACAGGCACUGAGAGGUGGGUGGGGGAUUUUUGAAAGUAUCAGUGUUCUUAGCCUGAGGAGCCAGGUCAAAGGAGUGAAGAUAGAAAAGGAAGUAUCAAGAUCUGAGGAAGGACCUGAAGAUGGGAAAAAUUAAUUUAGAUAAAAAAAGUAUACAAGACUUGCAAACGUCUAAGAGAUUAAAUAGACUUCAUUUUGCCAUAUUUUGGUCAGAUUUUUUUUUCAAAAAUACUUUCAGAAAUAGACAAAGGAACUCUUAUUGAUCAUUUAAAUUUUUUUUUAAGAUUUAUUUUAUUUGUAUGAGUACACUGUAGACACACCAGAAAACGGUAUCAGAUCCCAUUUGUGAGCUACCAUGUGGUGGCUGGGAAUUGAACUUAGGACAUUUGGGAGAGCAGUCAGUGCUCUUAACCAGUGAGCCAUCUCUCCAACCCAAAUCAUUUACUUUUCUAACUUUAUGAAGACUGAUAAACAGCCUGCCGUGAUGGCACAUGCCUUUAAUUCCAGCACUCAGGAGGCAGAGGCAGGCGGAUUUCUGAGUCUGAGGCCAGCCUGGUCUACAAAGUGAGUUCCAGGACAGCCAGGGCUAGACUGAGAAACCCUGUCUCGAAAAACAAACAAACAAAAAAACAAAAACAAAAGACUGAUACUGAUGUGUCUAAUUGUUGCCCCUUCCCUUCCCCUCCCCUGUUCUUCCUCCCUUCCCUCCCUCCUCUUGCUUCUUGAGUUCUAGACACAAUGUUACACAAUGUUGCCAUGUUCGCAGGCCCCGCAGCCCAUGAACUUGCGAUCUUCUUGCCUCUGCCUUUUGAGUGUUAGAAACACAGGCUGGAGCCGCCACCUCUGGCUGCUGUCCUACGGGCUUGUUGAUGUAGGGGGGAGUGUUGAUACAGUUUGGUUUGAAGCUGCUUGCUUCUCUGAGGAACUCAAUUUACAAACUUGCUUCGUACCUCUGCAUAGUACUUCGCUGUUUUUUUUUUUUUUUUUAAUCGAGGUAAAUAAAUUAUAUGCUAAUUAUACC
rnacentral:lncRNA from 1 species